GCAGGGGCCGCCACCAGCAGUGUGGCGGCCGCCAACGGUGUUACUACCACCGAGAGCAAAGUUGGUGGCAGGAGAUUCAGUUUCAGACGAUCUUCUUCCCCUUCUUGGACCGUUGAUCCCAGGAGGAUACUAAUUUUCUUUGCUACCCUAUCAAGUAUUGGAACAAUACUAUUGAUCUAUUUCACUCUAUCCAUGGCCAAGGUUAAUGGAGAAGACAAAGCUUCUUAUUAAUCUAUUUCAUACUAUCCAUUGCCAGGCAAAAUGGAGAAGACAGUUUUCAGUUAACAGAAGAGAUGUGGGGAACUGUUUGCUCUCUUAAAUAACAAAGUGAUAAAAAGGCCAAGCUACUACUUGCAAAUUCCAACUCAGAAGUCUGAUAUCGAGGCAGAAGAGAUAUUGAAGAGAUAUUGAGCAUGACUAGUUUUUGAAUAACAAAAAGGAGUUAGAUGAAUGGAGCCAAAAGAGAUGCUAAAAUUACAGCUUGGCCUUCCAUUAGAAAGAAUUCAAAGAAAUAACUUCAAUCAGCUGCCAACACAACAUGAAAAAGAUGUGAAAUAUUCAAAUAAUGAGUGGCGGGGUUUGGAACACAUGUAUAUCUUUUUUUUUCUUUUUUUUUUUUAUGUGUUUUUGGUUAUGUUUUUUGGUUUGGUAUAUUAUACAGAAGUUGUUUUUGAGAACCAGGAGUAAUAUUUUGCGAUCCUCUACUGUAAGCUAUUAAUAGAACAAGACAUACCUCUUUAUUGAA